GAUCAUGGCUCAGGACGAACGCUGGCGGCGUGCCUAAUACAUGCAAGUAGAACGCUGAAGGAGGAGCUUGCUUCUCCGGAUGAGUUGCGAACGGGUGAGUAACGCGUAGGUAACCUGCCUGGUAGUGGGGGAUAACUAUUGGAAACGAUAGCUAAUACCGCAUAAUAGCAGUUGUUGCAUGACAACUGUUUGAAAGGUGCAAUUGCACCACUACCAGAUGGACCUGCGUUG
rnacentral:rRNA from 1 species